AUGCCUGCUACCAUGGAUGAACUGGACAUGCUCGCGGAGCCCCAUCGUCGCCGCUCUGUCAUGUCAUCGCUGCACUGCCCCAUCCUUCUGCAGCGCCUGGAUCCGGUGAGUUUUGGUCGGCAACUCGCGCGCGCCAUGAUGGAGUGGCAUGCCCGCGCCUGCCGGGAGGCCCUGGUCGUGCGCGCCGUCAUGGAGCGGCAUGGCCACGCCCAUGCUCGCGGCGCCCGCUGGGAGGCCGUUGCCGCACGUGCCGUCGUGGAGCGCCAUGGCCAUGCCUGUGCUCGCGGCACCCGCCGGGAAACCUUGGCCACGCGCGCCGUCAAGGAGCACCAUGGCCACACCCGUGCUCGCCGUGGCCGCUAG
rnacentral:rRNA from 1 species